AUCCAGUUGACGAAUUCCAAAUAGGACGAAACGCGCGUCCUGGAU
rfam:Schistosoma haematobium scaffold1860_3, whole genome shotgun sequence.